GGGGAGCAAUCUCCUGAGUACAGCGGCGCACGGGUGAGUAACACGUGGGUAAUCUGCCCUGGAGUGGGGAAUAACACCGGGAAACCGGUGCUAAUACCGCAUACGAUGACUAUGUUUGCGGAUGUUGUCAUGAAAGGAGCAAUUCGCUCCAGGAGGAGCCCGCGGCUGAUUAGCUAGUUGGUGAGGUAAUGGCUCACCAAGGCAACGAUCAGUAGCCGGUCUGAGAGGACGGUCGGCCACACUGGAACUGAGACACGGUCCAGACUCCUACGGGAGGCAGCAGUGGGGAAUUUUUGGCAAUGGGCGCAAGCCUGACCAAGCAACGCCGCGUGGGUGAUGAAGUCUCUUGGGACGUAAAAUCCUUUCGACGGGGAAGAAACCGCAAGGUUGACGGUACCCGUAGAAGAAGCCCCGGCUAACUCCGUGCCAGCAGCCGCGGUAAUACGGGGGGGGCAAGCGUUGUUCGGAAUUACUGGGCGUAAAGGGCGCGUAGGCGGUUCGUUAAGUCGGAUGUGAAAACUCUGGGCUCAA
rnacentral:rRNA from 1 species